CGUUAAGUGAUGUUUGGGAUUGACAUAAGGCCCUAAACUCUUUCGAAUGCCUCUUAAACGGCUGGAAGUCAUAUCGUAAUGCCUCUCUUACGAAUGGAGAUGCCCUCAAGUGAUGUUUGGGAAUGACGUAAGGCCCUAAACUCCUUCGAAUGCCUCGUAAACGGCUGGAAGUCAUAUCGUAAUGCCUCUCUUACGAAUGGAGAUGCCCUCAAGCAAUGUUUGGGAAUGACGUAAGGGCCUAAACUCCUUCGAAUGCCUCGUAAACGUCAGGAAGAAUCGUAUCGCAAUGCCUCUCUUACGACUGAAGAUGCCCUCAAGUGAUGUUUGGGAAUGACGUAAUGUCCUAAACUCUUUCUAAUGCCUCGUGAAUGUGUGGCAGAUUCGUAAUAGUAAUGCCUCCUUAUGAUUGGAGAUGCCCAUUUAGUUUUGGGUGUGGUUCUGGAUCCGACAAGGCCCAGCGUUUAACUUAAUGCCUUGGUUAUGCUGGAAAUCACUCUUAUUGUUCUCCCACACCUCACUACGUAACUCCACUUCUUCACGAUUUGAGAUCCAGUGAAAUUAGUUUUGGGUGUGGUUCUGUAUCCAACAAGGGCCAGAGUUUAACCUAAUGCCUCGGUUAUGCUGGAAAUCACUCCUAUUGGACUGCCACACCUUCCUACGUAACUCCUGUUCUGUACGAUUGGAGUAUCCGUAGAGUGAGUUCAAUGCGUACGACUUGGGAUAUGACGGAAGGGUCAGAGCUAUCUUAAUGUAACUGGCCUUGGCUUAUUGAGGAGGAAAGAAAAGAGGAGGAAAGGGCGAGAAAGAGGAGAGGAAGGGAAGGGGAAAGAGAGGAGAGAGAAAGGCGAAAGAGGAGAGCAGAGAAGAGAAGAGAAGAACGAAAGGGCAAAGAGUAGAGGAGAGGAAGAGAGAGGAUAGGAGCUUCAUCUAAUGCCUUGUUCAAACGGGCCUAGAAAUCUGUCAAAUGCCUUCGUAACAUUGGAAAUCAGUCUUGUCAAAUGGGUGUCGCUCUCGAGGUAAAACUACACCCCAUAGCUCUGCGUGACGCCUCUUUUCCACGCUGCGCUGUGCCUGGAAUUCAUGGGUUGGGAGUACGUCAACGGCAGUGGCUUUCUCCAGCGUCCUUACCCCUAUACCAUACUGAAGUCCUGAUCCGAAGCCUUGUAAUAUAGUCUCGUACGUGUGUGUGUGUGUGAGAGAUAGUCAAGUGCAGCGGAUAUGCAUUUGUCAAGGGCAUAGUGCUACAGAAAUGGCGUACUAGGUGGGAUAGCGCUUUCGACCGUGCCGUCUGUCCGUUUUUGAUGUCCAUGUGGUGUGCAGUGUUUUAUAACUACGCUUUGUCGUCGCGCUACGUUGGGCGAGUGAGCGUUAUGGUCGGUGGGAGGUAUAGCCCAUUACAUGUAAACUCCUUUGGGGGAUAUAGUACAAUUACGCAUUAACGACUUGUCUUGUGACGUGCGGUUCUCUGUGCGACGUUCGUGAGGGCACCCGUAGAUAUAACGCUAUACUGUGGCUGUCUGUCUGUCUGUCUGCCUGUCUGUCUGUGUCUGUCCGGCCAGCUUACGUAAGGGAGUGUCUCGCUUUGUAACAUCUCUUCGUAGGUGUAGGAGUAUAUGGUGACAGUGACUUGGUUUUGUAAUGAAUAGUCGAGUUAGGAGAAAGUUUCGCUGGGAUUUGUUAGGAUUGACAAGUUUCGUAUGGAUGGUUUUUGCGGCGUUCGUUAAUACCAAAGUCUAUAUAUACCAAGUCAAGUCACUCUGCUUCAAAACUGCGACCGGUACGCGCAGGGGCGGUUUGGGGCGGAGCAGCGGGAUGACGUCAUUUGAAGGUAAAAAAAAAAUACCCGCCAGUUCAGGGGUGACUAAAGUUGGGGCCGUGUGUGCACUUUGGAUGUGCAUGCUUGCUUGCUUUCACAGCGCGUUCAGGCAAGCCACUGACGAAAAAAAUGUCUUUUUAUUGUGCUAUUGCGUGACUGUAAUUCCAAUGCCUACAAACGGCGGUGUGGGGUGUGAGGGAGGGCAUGUUGAAGUGACGGAUUUAAAUUAGUCCACCUUUCUUCGUUUUCUCUAAAUCCCUGUUUCUACAUUCUCUAGUUUGGCUCCAAGCAACGUCACGCAUAAGCCACGCCUCGGCCGUGUCUCCUCCCACAAACCUGCGUAUGGCUUGACUUGGUAUAUAAAGACUUAGCGUUAAUACGAUUACCAUUGUCAGAUUGUCGUACUCAGAGCAUAGUAUUUACCGGGUUCUGACGCCUAACUAUUGCCAAGAUGCAUCAGGAUAUAACUCUUUUAACGAUAGAUAUAAAUGAGUUUCGUUAUUGGAGCCCAGAAGACAGUUUAGGGGUAGGAAGUCAGGAAAUAUAAGCGGAUGAGUACGACAAUCUGGCAAUGUUGGUUACGAUGAAGAUUGCUUACGUGGAAAGUUCCAAGACUCACACUCGCUCACCCCCUAAAGAUACUAUCGCUGGCUGCCUUCGGAAUGACAGAUGUCGCUUUACGAGUCUUGCGGAGGGAUGGAAAAGUUGAGUUGCCGUCGUGGUGGUUGUUACGUAUACUGUAACUUGUUGACCAUUGUCGCCUACCUUAAGAAUGACAAAGGAGGGAGUCAAGUCGUGGCUCGAGAAUGUUCUAAAACCAUCUCGUUAUGUACUUAAAAGAGGUCGUUAUCAGCCUUACAAAAGACAAACAGAGAAUGGAAAGAUACACACACACACACACACACACACACACACACACACACACACACACACACACACACACACACACACACACAUACACACAGCCAA